rnacentral:rRNA from 1 species
GAUUCUGGCUCAGAUUGAACGCUGGCGGCGUGCUUAACACAUGCAAGUCGCGCGUGAAAGGACUUCGGUCCGAGUAAAGCGGCGCACGGGUGAGUAACGCGUGGAUGAUCUACCCAUGAGUUAGGAAUAACGGCUGGAAACGGUCGCUAAUACCAAAUACGCUCCGAUUUCAACUUCGGGGGAAAGGUGGCCUCUGCUUGCAAGCUACUGCUCAUGGAUGAGUCCGCGUCCCAUUAGCUAGUUGGUGGGGUAACGGCCCACCAAGGCGACGAUGGGUAGCCGGUCUGAGAGGAUGACCGGCCACACUGGGACUGGAACACGGCCCAGACUCCUACGGGAGGCAGCAGUGGGGAAUAUUGCGCAAUGGGCGAAAGCCUGACGCAGCGACGCCGCGUGAGGGAUGAAGGUCCUCGGAUCGUAAACCUCUGUCAGGAGGGAAGAACCGCCACGGUGCUAAUCAGCCGUGGUCUGACGGUACCUCCAAAGGAAGCACCGGCUAACUCCGUGCCAGCAGCCGC